rnacentral:lncRNA from 1 species
AUGCACUCCCACUGACACCAUCCCCUUCUCUCUCUCUCAACCCCCCAGCAAAAAAUAAUCAAAAUACACUCCCCAAGACCCCUAUUUCCCCCACCGGCGAUGGACCCUCCACCGCCGCCACCACCUCUAUCGUCCGCUGCACCCACCACCACCACAACCGCCGCCAUCACUACUCAACCCUAUGCCGACUCCAUCGACUCCUCUCCCCGUUCCCGCCACACCGACUCCUGGGACGAUCCUCCCACAAACGGCGCAGCCGCCGCUGCCCUGUCCUCUAAGCUCCGCCUCAUGUGCAGCUACGGCGGCCAUAUAGUCCCCC